rnacentral:lncRNA from 1 species
GAAAACUCUUAACUUCUCAAUACACAAGAUUUCUCAUUCAAUCAUCUUUCUCAUCUUCAUCUGUUAUCAAUCUUAUUACUCUUCACACUCAAACUGCUAUUGGAACAUAACCUCUCUUCGGAGCAAGUCUUCUAGACUUAAUCACUAAACUUGAUCUCACUUACUAACUUGGAGUGACUGCAUUCCUUGUUACGAAUUAGUUUAAGUGUAUUCUUGAUAUAACUUUUGUCAUUUAUCUUUCUUUACUUUCCGCAACUAACUAUCUAACAAUCUCACUAUCUAACUUUAUUAUUGUUGAGCUUUUAGAUCCUUAGAGAUUAACUAUUCCGCAACUAACUUGUUCUAACGUUUGUUCAAGUGUGUCUCCAAGUUUUUCUCUCAACAAAAACAACUUAUUGUAUUAAGUUGUUGAAUCUCUGGCAAACACGGGGUGUUUGCAAGCCAACACAGCAUGUUGAUUAUCUAGAAGAUGGAAGAACACGGCGUAUCCAAGGGGCAACAUGGCGUGUUUGAUCAAUAUGGGUUGUUGACUUUCAUUUUGACUGGAAGUUUGAUCAGGGUUGUCCAUGGGUUAUAUUGGGCUAUGUUUGUGCCUUUUGGAUUGUAUAUUUGGGCCUCAAUCUUGGGCCAAGCUAGAUAAGGUGUAAAAUGAUCUUUAACCCUAAGUAUGGAUGGAGGAUAUAGAUUCAAUUCCAAUUGUUGAUUGGGUGUUGUUUUUGUUGGGUUUUGAGCAAUCUAACACUUCCUAAGUGUGCAUGCAACCCUAAUAAACCUUGGAUCUAUGUUUGUCUAAAUGCAUGCAAAAUAAUAAUUUUCCAAGGUUUAUAACCUAUCUAACAUGGCAUGGGGAACAUUUCAACAUAAAAGAGUUAGAAGAGAUUACAUACCUUUGUUGUGUUGGGUUCUUAGGAGUUUGAGGGCCAAGCACCAAUAGUGUGAAUGCCUCAAAUGGAAUCACAAACACCACAAACUCUUGGAAAACUUUGAGAGAGUAUACACACUCUUGUAUUUUCGGCCACACACAUGCACACACACACUAGAACACUAGCUUUCUCUUAGGCUAUCUUAGGCUCUCUUUCAUGCUCCAUAAGCAUGCUUAUAUAGUAUGCAUGGUUAGGGUGAAACCCUAAUAACCCAUGUCUUUUCCUAUUCCAAGGAUCCAUGGGUUAAAAGCUCCAUGGAUCAUCCAUGGACUUCCACAUAAGCCUAGCCCAUUAACAAAUGAGUAUUAGCCCACACUAUAUAAAACAAAUAGCCCAUAAUUUAAUUAGUAUUCCUUUUAAUCUCUAAAUUAAUCCAUAAUUAAUUUAAGACUAAAACUAAUUAAAUAACGUAACUUCAUAUUAAUAUAUUAUAACUCAUAAUAUAUUAAUAAACAUAUGUGUAUAACUCUCAUAAAAUUAUCCAUAAUAGUUUGGAUGAGAUGCAACCCAAAUGGACCAUGCCGGUCGGGUCAAGUAUAUACCAAAUAAGUUAUGGACUUAGACACCUUAUCCAACAGACUCCCACUUGGAUAAGUCUAAUAACUAUAUUUGCCUAUAACUUCAGGAACCAACCAACAAUCGUAGCUCUCGAAAACUCCCUCGAACAAUGAAGACUCUGUCGAACUAUGAAGCGCCAUUUUAGAUAAGUGAUCACAUAAUCCUCUGUUCUCAUGAUAUCAGCCGGACAAACACAUGGAACUAUGUCUUGCUUAUUGUCUAGCAGUUGUUUCUCGAUUAUCCGAUUUGUUUGACGAAGAACUUCACUGAACACAUCGGUUUAGUUCUGACCAGGCCUGGUAUAUGGGUCAACACAAAAUCAUCGAGGGGCCCGGAUAUCGCUUCUAUUUCUAGAAGGAACAGAUAAACUUCGACUGAUAUGCUUGUUCUACUACUUAUUGAAUUGUACACAAAGGCACGUUUUAUAACAUCAAGUUACUGAUGCGUUUACGUGCAAUCAAUGCACAACCAACUCAUAGGUAACAACUCAUAUCUCUAGGUUUAAAGAUUUAUAUGAUGUUAUCGUCUCACGAUCACUCGAGAUAAAUUCCAUGAAGUGAUACAAGUGAGCGUGGGUUUAUACCAAUACUCAUAACUUAUGAGUACUCAUGAAUGUUGCAGCAACCAUUGCCAUGCCUAAACACCUUUAAGGCAUCUACAAACCCAAUUCAUGACAAUCUUGAUUCAUACCUACUUCCGACGUAUGAUCGAUUGUGGAGGUUUGAACAAAUUAAUUAUUCUGGAAGUCAAAACAUGCAAAACUGAAACAAUAGUAAAUAAUUGACAAUGAUAGUAACACUUUACUCAUAAAUAAAUCACAAAUUUUAUUCAUCAUCAAACGUCGAUUACAUUUUACAAGUUUCAGGAAAACUAUCUAAUCUGUAAAACUAAUAUCGUCCCUCAGCCCGAUGCGUCUCGCAUGCUGAAAAUGCUUAACCCUCGUCAGUCCCUUCGUAAGGGGAUCUGCAGGAUUCUCAUCUGACGAUAUCCUCCUUGUCACAAGGAGUCCUUCUUCAAUCUUGUGCCUUAUGAAGUGAUAUUUUCUGUCAAUGUGUCGGGAUCUGCCAUGAUCUCUUGGUUCCUUGGCUAAGAUAACCGCAGCAUUGUUGUCACAGAAAAUCUCUAUAGGUUCCUUAAUAGCUGGUACAACUCCAAGGUCUCCGAUGAAGUUCUUUAGCCAUAUCGCCUCCUUCGCUGCUUCACUCGCUGCUAUAUACUCUGAUUCACAAGUCGAAUCAGCCACCGUCUCCUGCUUGGAACUCUUCCAAGAAAUUGCCCCUCCAUUUAAGGUAAAGAUCCAGCCCGACUGAGAGCGGAAAUUAUCCCUAUCAGUCUGAAAACCAGCAUCACUAUACCCUAAUAUUCUCAAGUCAUCACUGCCACCAAGGGUAAGGACCCAAUCCUUAGUCCUCCGCAGGUACUUGAGAAUGUUCUUUACCGCGGUCCAAUGAGCCUUGCCAGGGUUCCCCUGAUACCUGCUGACCAUGCUCAAAGCAAAUGCCACAUCAGGACGGGUACAAGUCAUAGCAUACAUGAUCGAGCCAACUGCGGAAGCAUAUGGUAAUUGGCUCAUCUCAGCUAUCUCAGCCUCUGUACUCGGACUCUGAGUCUUACUCAGUUUGGUAUUGCUUUGGAUCGGUAAAUCUCCUUUCUUGGAAUUCUCCAUGUUGAACCUUUUCAACACCUUAUCCAAGUAGAUACUCUGACUAAGUCCAAUUAGUCUUCUACUCCUUUCUCUUAAUAUCCUUAUCCCUAGGAUAUAGGUAGCCUCCCCUAGGUCCUUCAUAGCAAAGCACUUCCCAAGCCAGGACUUAACCUCCUGCAAGGUUGGGAUGUCAUUUCCUAUGAGUAGUAUGUCAUCCACAUACAGUACCAAGAAGCUAACUAUACUCCCACUAGCUCUGACAUACACGCAAGACUCAUCUUCGCUUCUCAAGAAGCCAAACUCUUUUACCUUCUCAUCAAAACAAAGAUUCCAGCUACGAGAUGCUUGUUUUAAUCCAUAAAUGGAUUUCUUAAGCUUGCAUACUCUAUUAGGGUACUCUGCAUUGACAAAACCCUCUGGCUGAUUCAUGUACACAUCCUCAGCCAACUUUCCAUUAAGGAAAGCGGUUUUGACAUCCAUUUGCCAUAUUUCAUAAUCAUGAAAUGCUGCAAUGGCUAACAUAACCCUAAUAGACUUAAUCUUGGCCACCGGCGAGAAGGUUUCAUCAUAAUCAAUACCUUGAGUUUGAGUAAAACCCUUCGCAACCAGUCGAGCCUUAUAAGUAUGCACUUUUCCUUCCAUGUCGGUCUUCUUUUUGAAGAUCCAUUUGCACCCGACUGUUUUACGGCCUGGUACAUUGUCAACCAAGUUCCAAACUUGAUUGUCAUACAUGGACUGUAUCUCGCUGUCCAUAGCCUCCUUCCAUUUAGCAGACUCCGGGCCUGCCAUGGCUUCCUUAACACUGCUAGGUUCAUCCAAAUUUACUAGUGUACUAUCACUAAUAAACGUAUCACCUUCCGUAGUAAUAUGAAAACCAUAAUAAAACGAAGGUGUGUUCCUAACCCGUGUGGAACGUCUCGGAGGUACAGACUCGUCAGCUGGAUCAACAGGAGUUUCUUCCUCAGGUUGAUUGCUAGUGUCUGAGGUUCCUUCACCAAUUGAUUCUUGAAUUUCUUCAAGAUCAAUCUGCCUCCCACUGUCUCCUUGGCUUAUAAAUUCUUUCUCGCGAAAGAUCCCUCUUCGUGCUACAAAGACCACAUUCUCACUGGGUCUGUAGAAAAGGUAACCGAAGGAUUUCUGUGGGUAGCCGAUGAAAAUACACCUUUCACUUCGGGGUUCAAGCUUAUCAUGAGUUUCACGCCUCACGAAGGCUUCGCAACCCCAAAUUUUGAUGUGGUCCAAAUUGGGAACCUUCCCAGUCCACAUCUCAUGAGGUGUUUUGGUAACCUUCUUUGUAGGGACUAGAUUAAGGAUAUGGGCGGCAGUCUCUAAGGCAUACCCCCAAAAAGAGAUUGGUAACGAAACUCGACUCAUCAUAGAGCGAACCAUGUCCAACAAGGUACGAUUACGCCUCUCAGCUACACCAUUCAGCUGUGGUGUCCUGGGAGGAGUCAAUUGUGAGACAAUCCCACACUCCUUAAGAUAGUCAAGGAACUCGGUACUAAGAUACUCACCACCUCGAUCGGAUCGAAGCAUCUUAAUGUUCCUGCCCAAUUGAUUUUCUACUUCCUGUUUGAAUUCCUUAAACCUUUCAAAGGUUUCGGACUUGUGUUUGAUCAAGUAGACAUACCCAUAUCUACUAUAAUCAUCAAUAAAAGUCACAUAAUACCGAUUAGCGUCCCUUGUGGCGGUUUUGAAUGGCCCACAUACAUCAGUAUGUAUUAGGUCCAACAAACCUUCACCCCUCUCACAAGUUCCAGUGAAGGGUGAUUUUGUCAUUUUUCCAAGUAGACAAGAUUCACAACUAUCAUCUGAUUUGAGGUCAAAUGAUUCCAAGACUCCACUCUUUUGGAGUUGGUCUAUGCGUUUCUUGUUUACAUGUCCAAGACGACAAUGCCACAAUGAUGCUUUAUCUAGGCUAGUAGAAGAAUCAAUAUACAACACAUUAUUUCCUAAGUUGUCUACAAUCGACACAGUUUCAUACACGCCAUCACAAGGUAAUGCUUUAAAAUAAAACACAUUAUUAAAGAAAGCAUUAAUACCACCACAUUCAUUAUCAAACGAAAAGGUAAAACCUUGUUUGUACAAAGCAUGAAAAGAAAUAAUAUUCCUCGCCAUUUCAGACGAGUAUACACAUUUAUUCAAAUCUAAUUUUAACCCAUUAUUAAGCAACAAAGUAUAAACUCCAAUCUUGGAAACAGGUGAAGCCUUCCUAUUCCCCAUGAUUAAGUUUAUCUUCCCGUGCUCCACAUCCUCACUUCUUCUUAGGCCCUGCAAAUCAGAACAUAUGUGAAUACCACAUCCUGUAUCAAGCACCCAAGAGUUAGAAUAUGUUGAGUAAUUAGACAAUAUAGUGUAAAUACCUGCAUAGGUGGGUUUCACUUUCCCAUCCUUUAGAUCCUGCAAGUACUUAGGGCAGUUUCGCUUCCAGUGUGCCUUUUCAUGGCAAUAAAAGCAUUCAGCAUCCUUUGGAAUGGCAGAAGGAGUGACAGAACCGUUCUUAGUCUUGGAUGAGGAGCCUUCAAGAGACUUUCCCUUGGUACCCUUCGAAGGGUGCUUCCUCUUUUUCCCUUUGCCUUGCCCAAUAGCUAAAACAGGGGUAGAAGUUGGAGUAGGAGUAGUAGAGGUAACAACCGCUUUACCCUUAAGACCGGUUUCAGCGGUCUUCAAGAGUCCUUGAAGCUUGCUGAGGGUAACUUCCUCCUUGUUCAUAUGAUAUGUCAUUCGAAAAUGAUCAUAACAAGAAGGCAAGGAGUGCAAAAUGAUGUCAAUUGCUAACUCCUCGGGGAUGUUAACAUUCAGCUUCAGCAAACGGUCCACAUACCUUUGCAUCUUUUGCAUGUGGCCCGUGACGGAUUCACCGUCCUUCAUGCGGGUAGUUAUUAUGGAGGAGAUUAUUUCAUACCGCUCCUGACGAGCACUCUGAUGGUACCUUUCCAUCAAGUCUUGGUGCAUCUCAAAAGGGUAGAAAUCUUCAUAUGACUUUUGGAGCUCGGCUGUCAUCGUGGCCAUCAUGAUACAUGCCACCUUAGUAGCAUCUCUCUCAUGAGUCCUGAAUUCAGCGAUCUCCUCAGGAGUAGCAGUAGACUCAUCAAGUUCUUUUAACUCCUUAUCGAGGACAUAUUCCUUGUCCUCGUAACGAGUAACCAUCCUGAUGUUCCUAAUCCAAUCCAUGAAGUUGGAACCAUCAAAGAUGACCCUCCCACAAAGAUUCAUGAGAGAGAAAGAACCAGUUGGGUUAGAGCCUGAAGCAUUAGUGUUGGAAGACAUCUGAAAGAAGAAAGUAAGUUUAGAUUAGAUAUUUAGGAUCCUUAAUAAGACACCCAAAUGUAAUAUUAAGGCUAGGAUCCAAUCACAAUAUAUUACACUUAGAAGAGGGAUGCCGUAAUCUAAGUAAUAAUAUAUUUGAAAGGUAGGCGAAUGACGAUUCACCAAUUUCCACCAUGAAAACGAAAUGAUUAAUUAGGUUUAAUUGGAUUUGAAAUUCCUAGAUUCUUUUGAGAUUCAUUGAACUUUUCAAUGGCAUGUUUCAAUCUCGAUUGUGCCCUUCAAGUUUUGUGACUGGGAUGCCGAGGAUCACAAAACAAGGUGUGAAUAACCAUGCUAACUCACUUGGUACUCCUAAUAUUAUCACCUAAUCAAUGUGCCGGUUAACCACACACGCUCCAUUGAUCUAUGACAACAUUAAGUUACCCUUCGUGAUCCUUACUAGUCUAAUUAGUGUGCCGGUUAACCACACACGCUCCACUAACGACUUGGUAAGGUACAAAGUGUGAAUUCCAUGGAUUAGCACCAUGUUCACAUUUUCCUAAAAUAACUAAGAUUGGGAAUUAAAAGAGUUUAGUUAUUUUAUAAUAUUCAUUAUACUUUUAAUGAGGAUUUAAAGUCGUUGUUCUACCCGUUCGGCUAACGACCCUCCACCGAUCAAGCAAGCGGUGGGUGAGAGUAUACACCCAUUAAGUCGCCAUUUUAUAGGCAACAACCUUAUACCCACCUUAUAGACCGGCUUCGUGAAUGAGGCCUACUAACGGUAAAACGACUUAUUCUUAUACAUAUAUAUAAUAAUUAACCAUUAAUGUUAUAAAUAGUAUAAGGGUUGAAUUUUAACUAUUAAAACUCUAAGGUUUGGAAUUAAAGUUUAUUAAAGUGUGUGAAACUUUACAAAUUCCAAAACUUGAGGACAAGUUUUGUAACUUUGCAAAACUCUUCAUUUCAUAACUUAUGAAUUAAAGGUUCAUAAAAAUGAAGACUCUUCAUUUUCAUGUAACUUAUGUGUUUUAAGUGUGUGUUAAAUGAAAGUGACCUUUGGUAAUCCAUAACUUGAGGACAAAUUAUGGACUCCAUUAAAACACAUAAAUGAUUAAGAAUUAAUUCUAAACAAUUCAGCAAAUAAUUCCUAUCAUUUUCUAAAUUCAUAAGAACAUGAACAUGAUCAUCAAAAAUUCAAGAAUUAUAUGAACACAUAAAAUCAUGGAUUUUUGAUAUAUGCUAUUGUAAAUGGAUUAGAACAACCAUUACACCAACUAAAAUAAGUUUUACAACACCAAAACAAUUUAGGGUAAUGUUUCCAGUCCAUUUCCAGCAGCAAAAGUCGAGAUUCUGCAUUCUUUCGAUCCUACUCGCCGAGUGCACGAACGGACUCGUCGAGUAGGUUGAAGUUUGCCUUGGACUCGGCGAGUCCCCCCAAUGGACUCGGCGAGUCUAGCAUGCAGACAGCAACGAUUUCGACUUUUUUCACUAUUUUGCAUCAAGUAUCAAACAAGCAAGCCUAGGCUCUGAUACCACUGUUGGGUUUUGAGCAAUCUAACACUUCCUAAGUGUGCAUGCAACCCUAAUAAACCUUGGAUCUAUGUUUGUCUAAAUACAUGCAAAAUAAUAAUUUUCCAAGGUUUAUAACCUAUCUAACAUGGCAUGGGGAACAUUUCAACAUAAAAGAGUUAGAAGAGAUUACAUACCUUUUAGAUGAGUUUGGUUCUUGAGGAGUUUGAGGGCCAAGCACCAAUAGUGUGAAUGCCUCAAAUGGAAUCACAAAACACCACAAACUCUUGGAAAACUUUGAGAGAGAAUACACACUUGUAUUUUCGGCCACACACAAGCACACACACACUAGUUCACUAGUUACCCUUUAGGGUGCCAUUUCAUGCUCCAUAAGCAUGCUUAUAUAGUGUACAUGAUUAGGGUGAAACCCUAAUAACCCAUGUCUUUUCCUUUCCAAGGAUCCAUGGGUUAAAAGCUCCAUGGAUCAUCCAUGGACUUCCAUAUAAGCCUAGCCCAUUAACAAAUGAGUGUUAGCCCACACUAUAUAAUACCAAUAGCCCAUAAUCUAAUUAGUCUUCCUUUUAAUCUCUAAAUUAAUUCAUAAUUAAUUUAAGACUAAGACUAAUUAAAUAACAUGACUUCAUAUUAAUAUAUUAUAACUUAUAAUAUAUUAAUAAACAUAUGUGUAUAACUCUCAUAAAAUUAUCCAUAA